UACGUAGGGUGCGAGCGUUAAUCGGAAUUACUGGGCGUAAAGCGUGCGCAGGCGGUUCGUUGUGUCUGAUGUGAAAGCCCCGGGCUCAACUUGGGAACGGCAUUGGAAACUGGCGAGCUAGAGUGUGGCAGAGGGGGGUGGAAUUCCGCGUGUAGCAGUGAAAUGCGUAGAGAUGCGGAGGAACACCGAUGGCGAGGGCAGCCCCCCUGGGUCAAGACUGACGCUCAUGCACGAAAGCGUGGGGAGCAAACAGG
rnacentral:rRNA from 1 species